rnacentral:lncRNA from 1 species
GGCAGCACCUCGCUUGCCCGCUCUCUUCCCCCGCUUCCUCUCCSUGCCUCCCCGCUCCAUCCCCGCGCGUCGUGUCGCGGCCUCCCCGCUCCCCGGCUUCGCCUGCCUCUUGGCUCCGUUUUUAACCUCCUGCCCGCGAAAGGCUCCUCGGCCUGGCUGCCCUCUGCCCCGGGAGGCGGCCGUGCCCCCCCGGGCGCUUCGGGGGGCCCCGGCUGGGCCCGGGACAAGGGCAAGAGCGCGUCUGGAAGCAGAGGAAGAGUUAGCCGAGGCCUGGCUUAUCCCUUUCUGCACCGGCCCGGCGUCCCUCUGAGCGUGCUGCGGCUGCUGCGGUUUUUUAUAGGCAUAUCCCCCCCCCCCCACACACACACACACACUUCUUUUACACUUUGCAAUAAGAGUAAACCAGCAAGAUCCUAGGGGUUCGCAUGCUUCCUCGGCAAUGAACGCGGCCAGAAGUGGCUACCGCGUCUUCUCGGCAAACUCCACGGCGGCCUGCACCGAGCUGGCAAAGAGGAUCACAGAGAUGUAGUGAUGAAAAYGGACCAGUGGUUUUCUCUAUCUUGUGUCUUUAACACCAAUUUCCGUGCUGGAAAGUCUGGAUUGCAGCUGAGGACUGUUACUUCUUGGAAGGGAGAAGUCCUCAGCGCGGAUAAUCCCCGUGAAGCUGACUGUGCUGUUUGUCCGGGAUCGCUGGUGUUGAUGGGACGGAUGGAGGGGACCACCGACGAGCUGAGCCCUCUUUGGAUGAGAGGUUGCAAAAGAUGCGUGACUGCUGCCUUUCCCCCCGUGCCACAUCCCAGCGUGUACUUUGCUGGGGAGGGCAGUUGCACCCUAAAAUAG